rnacentral:misc_RNA from 1 species
UCUCCGUAGGUGAACCUGCGGAGGGAUCAUUACAGAGUUCAUGCCCUCACGGGUAGAUCUCCCACCCUGUGUUAUUAUACUUUGUUGCUUUGGCAGGCCGCCCGCGUGGGCUACCGGCUCCAGCUGGUAAGUGCCUGCCAGAGGACCCCAAACUCUGAAUAUUUUAUUGUCUGAGUACUAUAUAACAGUUUAAAACUUUCAACAACGGAUCUCUUGGUUCUG